AUACGUAGGGGGCGAGCGUUGUCCGGAAUUAUUGGGCGUAAAGGGUACGUAGGCGGUUUUUUAAGUCUGGUGUGAAAUUGGUGGGCUCAACCCACCCAAGCAUUGGAAACUGGAAAACUUGAGUCAUGGAGAGGAAAGUGGAAUUCCUAGUGUAGCGGUGAAAUGCGUAGAUAUUAGGAGGAAUACCGGUGGCGAAGGCGACUUUCUGGACAUGUACUGACGCUGAGGUACGAAAGCGUGGGGAGCAAACAGGAUUAGACACCCUGGUAGUCCACGCCGUAAACGAUGAGUGCUAGGUGUUGGGGGUCAAACCUCGGUGCCGCAGUUAACACAUUAAGCACUCCGCCUGGGGAGUACGUGCGCAAGCAUGAAACUCAAAUGAAUUGACGGGG
rnacentral:rRNA from 1 species